rnacentral:sRNA from 1 species
AAAUAACAUGCGUGAGGGAUAGUAGCGGCAUCCUUUUUUAAUGUCAUCCUGAGCUUGCUAAAGGAUAGUACAUUUAUAAAGAUAUAGCGAAUAGCCCGACCGAAG